rnacentral:rRNA from 1 species
CGGUACGUACUGGCAUUGUUGGUUUUCUCCCUUUCUGACGAACCAUGAUGUCCAUUUAUUUGGUGUUGUGGGGAAUCAGGACUGUUACUUUGAAAAAAUUAGAGCGUUUAAAGCAGGCUCACGCUUGAAUACAUUAGCAUGGGAUAAUGAAAUAGGACGUCUGAUUCUAUUUUGUUGGUUUCUAGGAUCGACGUAAUGACUAAUAGGGAUAGUUGGGGGCAUUAGUAUUCAAUUGUCAGAGGUGAAAUUCUUGGAUUUAUUGAAGACUAACUACUGCGAAAGCAUUUGCCAAGGAUGUUUUCAUUAAUCAAGAACGAAAGUUAGGGGAUCGAAGACGAUCAGAUACCGUCGUAGUCUUAACCAUAAACUAUGCCGACUAGGGAUCGGAUGAUGUUAAUUUUUUAAUGACUCAUUCGGCGCCUUACG